UACGGAGGGUGCGAGCGUUGUCCGGAAUCACUGGGCGUAAAGGGCGCGUAGGCGGCCUGAUAAGUAGGGUGUGAAAUCCUGCGGCUUAACCGCAGGGCUGCCUUCUAAACUGUCAGGCUUGAGCACGGUAGAGGCAGAUGGAAUUCCCGGUGUAGCGGUGGAAUGCGUAGAGAUCGGGAAGAACAUCAGUGGCGAAGGCGGUCUGCUGGGCCGUUGCUGACGCUGAGGCGCGACAGCGUGGGGAGCAAACAGG
rnacentral:rRNA from 1 species